rnacentral:lncRNA from 1 species
GCCGAAGAUCCCGGCCAUCAUCACGAGGCGCUUCACCCAACAGAUCCACUUCUGUGUCCAGUCAGGCUGCGCAGGCGGCCUCCCCACAGGUCCCUGCCACCACCACACCCAAGGGAACGCCAAUACAAGGAAGCAAGCUUCGACUUCCAGGAUAUUUAUCAGGGAAAGGCUUCCACUCUGGGGAGGACAGUGGCUUGAUAACAACUGCAGCUGCCAGAGUCCGAACACAGUUUGCUGAUUCCAAGAAGACUCCCAGCCGACCAGGAAGUCGAGCUGGAAGCAAAGCUGGCAGCAGGGCCAGCAGCCGCCGAGGCAGUGAUGCAUCAGACUUUGACAUUUCAGAAAUCCAGUCCGUGUGCUCAGAUGUGGAAACUGUCCCCCAGACACACAGACCUACACCCCGAGCAGGUUCUCGGCCAUCCACAGCGAAGCCUUCAAAAAUCCCCACGCCCCAGAGGAAAUCACCUGCCAGCAAAUUGGACAAGUCCUCAAAGAGAUAGUGCAAUUGGUUCUACCAAGGCCCUUCCUUGAGCAUUUAUUAUUUAAGUUUGAACGAUGUAAAAUAUGGUGUAGAAAUUCUUGUGAAAUAUUGCAAGAGGCGAGUUUAAAAUUCUGCAGAUGGCCUUAUUUGUGUAUUUGUCUUUUUAUUUUAUCUGUAUAAUUUUUUUUGUCAGAUAUUCUGGGGUUAAAGUCACAUCAUAUGUGAGGAGGAAAAGUUUAACAUGAACUAACAUUUCUGCACUGUAACGUGCCGGGCACACACUAAACUCAGUUACUGUACCUACAGGUAAGUCUACAUCCUCUCUGACAGCCACAGCACUACAUCAAUCCCUGACGUUAGGGAUACCUCAUGACAUUUUCCUGUUUUUAUGGAAACUCUGAGAAGCUGAAUGAUACAUGCAGGGGAUAUUUUUUGAGAUGAUUUAAAUGUAAACCAAAAGAUGGAAGACAAAAAGACAAACACACCCACACGCAGUCUUUGCAGUAUCUGACAGAGAACUCACAGGAAGUUACUUCAAGCACUUGCCAGUACUAUGAUAUUCAAGUACCUUGCAGCAUUUCUCUGCCAUUGCUUUCAAUGAGGCCAGAGGCAUCCUGGAUAUUAGACCUAUUAUACUGUAAGAAUAUAAGUAUAAAGUGCGUUCAUAUACAUGUGAGGUUUUCUUUUGCUUGAGUGGACAGUAGCACCUGUAUCAUUGAACUCAUUUUGUAUCAGAGCAAUUUUGCUUGCAGAAAGCUAUGAAAUAAAACACGUCCCUUAACUGC